GUGCGGCCCAGGUAAAAUGGAAAUUGCACCACCCAACGUGACACCGAACCAGCAGAUGAGGAUGGCGGGAACAGCACCUGUGAGGAUGUGCAGUCUGGGAGUGGUCAGCAGGAACGAUUGUGAGCACACUGGCCAUGUGAGGUACAAUGGCAACGUCUCUACCUGUACGCAUGUCUGCUGGGCUUUACAUAUCUGCUUUGUGUCUCCUCUCCAUGUGGCCACUGUGCAUCAUGUAUUGCCAACUGUAAAACAAAUAAAUAAAUAAAUUUAAAAUAACAAGUGUUUAUUGUCACAUGCAUGUAGUGUGCCAAUCCAUCAGCCUGUCUCCCGAAGAAAGAGCUCCCUCAGACCCUCCAGUCUUCCCCCUGUAGCCCCUCACUCCUGUCAGAUGACCAGGGAGGUCAGUAAUCUACAGGAGGGGAUUAAAGGGGAAAUGUGGAUCUGGAAACCAUCAGUGUGUGGCGGCAUAGCAGGGAGAUGAGGAAGCCACUGACAAUCCAGAUUUGAAACAAGGACCCCGAAAAUAAAACCUUUUGAUACCUAUAAAGUGUUGUUCAAGUGUCGAUGACUUCCAGGGUAAGAAGGGACCCUCUCUUCUUAUCCACAUAUCUGCUUGGACAGGCAUGAAAGAUGCCUGGCUCAUCUUUACCAUUUGACAAGGCUGAACUUCACCUGAGCCCCGAAAGAGCCACAGAAAAGACAUCUCUGCAGACUUCUGUGUUCCCGAAGUGGCUUACCAGCAAAGACCGGCCUUCCCUUUAGGACUUAGGUAAGGCUUGCGGUCCACUCUUUGUCCUAUUUGCCAUAAGCCUCUCAGGUGUCCCAUGGGUGUACCCUGCUAGCAGGCCAAACACAGACCUUCCUCCGAGUCCUUAAAGGUCAGACACAGACCCUCAGCUCCGUGUUUUCUGUCUCAUGAAUCGUAACUGAGAUUCAAAGUCAGCCCUCCUGAAACCAGCUAGUCACAAAGACAAACAUUUCCUGUUCAGUUGAUUAGACUCCCCCCUCCCCCGAAUGUUUCCCACAGUAGCACUGUCUAUUAAUCUCUCUCAAGUCCAAUGCAAAGCCACCCUGCUGACACAGUCUGCUCUUCAGACCUGGGGUGGUCUCCCCAUUGCAAUCCGUAGAAUAAAGUCAGUCUCUAGGUCAGUUCUGUGUCUUUCCACGUGUGAGGUGUCACACUGACUGUGAGUUGCAAGAACUGGUAAGGAAAAACUCUGGUAACCGGAGCCGCUUCUCGCAUGGACACACAACACAAAUUACCCGGCAGGCACAAAAGCCCCACCUUCCAGCACCAAUAGGCUACCACCCAGACGCAUCGUCUGUGAGGUCACCUGCGCUACCCGGAAACACUUCCCGCGACUCUGGAAGCUAUUACGGCUUCCAAUCGCCAAGCUGCUGGGACGGGGGCUCCGGUACGCGGCCGAGACGGUCGGCUUCUGUCUUCUGUGCUCCGAAUCCCCAGGCGCUAGUGCCGCUGUCCCCGGGUCGGAACCUACUCUCCUUCCGGUCGCUCCCGGCUGCCCCCCCGGGACAGCCGCAACAGACCGGGUGCCCAAGAGGACCCCGCUUGCCUAAGGGGGUGUGGCCGAGGGGGAGGGUCCCAUCCCUGUGACGUCAGACGCAGGCCCGCAGACUCCACCUCCCCUUUGGGACGCGUAACCUCUCUAGGACUCCGGAGGACC
rnacentral:lncRNA from 1 species